rnacentral:sRNA from 1 species
GAACAGAGCUAUGUAUUGGCAUUGACAGAGGUAUAUGUGUUAUGUUAGUUAUUUAAGAAAUAAUCUGGAGAAUUUAUCAUCCCCUCUGAGAGAUUUCUGCACAAUUUAAUUAAGGACCCUAUAGUGUGCUGCAGGAUAAUAAAGCUUUUCCCCCAAAAAACAGAUGAAUAUUUAAACUAAUUCAAAGAGAGAAGAAAGCUUCCUGAAAGGUAAUUUAAUUGACUUUUGCUUUCCAGGUGUCAAAUCAGACACUGAGCUUGUUCUUCACGGUUCUGCAAGAUGUCCCAGUAAGAGAUCUGAAACCAGCCAUAGUGAAAGUCUACGAUUACUACGAGACAGAUGAGUUUGCAAUUGCUGAGUACAAUGCUCCUUGCAGCAAAGAUCUUGGAAAUGCUUGAAGACCACAAGGCUGAAAAGUGCUUUGCUGGAGUCCUGUUCUCAGAGCUCCACAGAAGACACGUGUUUUUGUAUCUUUAAAGACUUGAUGAAUAAACAUUUUUUCUGGUCAA